GACGAACGCUGGCGGCGUGCUUAACACAUGCAAGUCGAACGGAAAGGCCCUGCUUUUGUGGGGUGCUCGAGUGGCGAACGGGUGAGUAACACGUGAGUAACCUGCCCUUGACUUUGGGAUAACUUCAGGAAACUGGGGCUAAUACCGGAUAGGAGCUCCUGCUGCAUGGUGGGGGUUGGAAAGUUUCGGCGGUUGGGGAUGGACUCGCGGCUUAUCAGCUUGUUGGUGGGGUAGUGGCUUACCAAGGCUUUGACGGGUAGCCGGCCUGAGAGGGUGACCGGCCACAUUGGGACUGAGAUACGGCCCAGACUCCUACGGGAGGCAGCAGUGGGGAAUAUUGCACAAUGGGCGGAAGCCUGAGGCAGCAACGCCGCGUGCGGGAUGAAGGCCUUCGGGUUGUAAACCGCUUUCGCCUGUGACGAAGCGUGAGUGACGGUAAUGGGUAAAGAAGCACCGGCUAACUACGUG
rnacentral:rRNA from 1 species